rnacentral:rRNA from 1 species
GAUGAACGCUGGCGGCGUGCCUAAUACAUGCAAGUCGAGCGAACAGACGAGGAGCUUGCUCCUCUGACGUUAGCGGCGGACGGGUGAGUAACACGUGGAUAACCUACCUAUAAGACUGGGAUAACUUCGGGAAACCGGAGCUAAUACCGGAUAAUAUAUUGAACCGCAUGGUUCAAUAGUGAAAGACGGUUUUGCUGUCACUUAUAGAUGGAUUCGGGCGGCAUUAGCUAGUUGGUAAGGUAACGGCUUACCAAGGCGGCGAUGCGUAGCCGACCUGAGAGGGGGAUCGGCCACACUGGAACUGAGACGCGGUCCAGACUCCUACGGGAGGCAGCAGUAGGGAAUCUUCCGCAAUGGGCGAAAGCCUGACGGAGCAACGCCGCGUGAGUGAUGAAGGUCUUCGGAUCGUAAAACUCUGUUAUUAGGGAAGAACAAAUGUGUAAGUAACUAUGCACGUCUUGACGGUACCUGAUCAGAAAGCAACGGCUAACUACGUG